rnacentral:rRNA from 1 species
GUGUCAGCCGCCGCGGUAAGACGGAGGGUGCAAGCGUUGUUCGGAAUCACUGGGCGUAAAGCGCGUGUAGGCGGUUGGACAAGUCGGAUGUGAAAGCCCGGAGCUCAACUUCGGAAGUGCAUUCGAAACUGUCCAGCUAGAGUACGGGAGAGGGAAGUGGAAUUCCUGGUGUAGAGGUGAAAUUCGUAGAUAUCAGGAGGAACACCGGUGGCGAAGGCGGCUUCCUGGACCGAUACUGACGCUGAGACGCGAAAGCGUGGGGAGCAAACAGGAUUAGAUACCCUGGUAGUCCACGCCGUAAACUGUGAGCACUAGGUGUAGCGGGUAUUGACCCCUGCUGUGCCGACGCUAACGCAUUAAGUGCUCCGCCUGGGGAGUACGGCCGCAAGGUUAAA